rnacentral:rRNA from 1 species
UACAGAGGGUGCAAACGUUGUUCGGAUUUACUGGGCGUAAAGCGCGUGUAGGCGGCUUUGCAAGUCGGAUGUGAAAGCCCACGGCUCAACCGUGGAAGUGCAUCCGAAACUGCAUGGCUGGAGUCUCGGAGAGGAAGGUGGAAUGCUUGGUGUAGAGGUGAAAUUCGUAGAUAUCAAGCAGAACACCUGCGGCGAAGGCGGCCUUCUGGACGAUGACUGACGCUGAGACACGAAAGCGUGGGGAGCAAACAGG